GACAGAGGGUGCAAACGUUGUUCGGAAUUACUGGGCGUAAAGCGGGCGCAGGCGGUUUUGUAAGUCUGUCGUGAAAGCCCCGGGCUCAACCUGGGAAUUGCGAUGGAGACUGCAAGGCUUGAAUCUGGCAGAGGGGGGUAGAAUUCCACGUGUAGCAGUGAAAUGCGUAGAGAUGUGGAGGAACACCGAUGGCGAAGGCAGCCCCCUGGGUCAAGAUUGACGCUCAUGCACGAAAGCGUGGGGAGCAAACAGG
rnacentral:rRNA from 1 species